ensembl:lncRNA
GUCCAUUCAGCUACAGCCUCCUGUAUUCUACAGUACCCAUGUCCAUUCAGCUACAGCCUCCUGUAUUCUACAGUACCCACGUCCAUUCAGCUACAGCCUCCUGUUUCUACAGUACAGUCCAUUCAGCUACAGCCUCCUGUAAUUCUAGUACCCACGUCCAUUCAGCUACAGCCUCCUGUUUCUACAGUACCCACGUCCAUUCAGCUACAGCCUCCUGUAUUCUACAUACCCACGUCCAUUCAGCUACAGCCUCCUGUAUUCUAGAGUACCCACAUCCAUUCAGCUACAGCCUCCUGUAUUCUACAGUACCCACGUCCAUUCAGCUACAGCCUCCUGUAUUCUACAGUACCCACGUCCAUUCAGCUACAGCCUCCUGUAUUCUACAGUACCCACGUCCAUUCAGCUACAGCCUCCUGUAUUCUAGAGUACCCACGUCCAUUCAGCUACAGCCUCCUGUAUUCUACAGUACCCACGUCCAUUCAGCUACAGCCUCCUGUAUUCUACAGUACCCACGUCCAUUCAGCUACAGCCUCCUGUAUUCUACAGUACCCACGUCC